rnacentral:rRNA from 1 species
UACGGGGGGGGCCAGCGUUGUUCGGAAUUACUGGGCGUAAAGGGCUCGUAGGCGGCCAACUAAGUCCGACGUGAAAUCCCAAGGCUUAACCUUGGAACUGCGUCGGAUACUGGAUGGCUUGAAUUCGGGAGAGGGAUGCAGAAUUCCAGGUGUAGCGGUGAAAUGCGUAGAUAUCUGGAGGAAUACCGGUGGCGAAGGCGGCAUCCUGGACCGACAUUGACGCUGAUGAGCGAAAGCUAGGGGAGCAAACAGG